UGAAAGACGAACAACUGCGAAAGCAUUUGCCAAGGAUGUUUUCAUUAAUCAAGAACGAAAGUUGGGGGCUCGAAGACGAUCAGAUACCGUCCUAGUCUCAACCAUAAACGAUGCCGACCAGGGAUCGGCGGAUGUUGCGUUUUAGGACUCCGCCGGCACCUUAUGAGAAAUCAAAGGUUUUUGGGUUCCGGGGGGAGUAUGGUCGCAAGGCUGAAACUUAAAGGAAUUGAUUCAAUAAAGAUAAAUUUUAUACAUUCAGAUUUUAAAAAUCAAAC
rnacentral:ncRNA from 1 species